AGCGAACGCUGGCGGCAGGCCUAACGCAUGCAAGUCGAACGAACCUUUCGGGGUUAGUGGCGGACGGGUGAGUAACACGUGGGAACGUGCCUUUAGGUUCGGAAUAACUCAGGGAAACUUGUGCUAAUACCGAAUGUGCCCUUCGGGGGAAAGAUUUAUCGCCUUUAGAGCGGCCCGCGUCUGAUUAGCUAGUUGGUUGAGGUAAUGGCUCACCAAGGCGACGAUCAGUAGCUGGUCUGAGAGGAUGAUCAGCCACAUUGGGACUGAGACACGGCCCAAACUCCUACGGGAGGCAGCAGUGGGGAAUCUUGCGCAAUGGGCGAAAGCCUGGCGCAGCCAUGCCGCGUGAAUGAUGAAGGUCUUAGGAUUGUAAAAUUCUUUCACCGGGGACGAUAAUGACGGUACCCGGAGAAGAAGCCCCGGCUAACUUCGUG
rnacentral:rRNA from 1 species